GGAGAGUGUGGGGGGGGGGGAGAAAAAGAAAAAAAAAGAAAGAAAGAAAGAAAGAAAGGGAGAGUAUCAGACAACGCUGUGGCUGCGGCCAUGCUGGUGCAUUACCUUGUGGUGUUUAGUAGAACCAUCGACCUCAUGGUUCCUGAAAGUUAUAUGUAAUUGAAGAGUUUUAAUAACAGAGAAACAUGAUCGUGGAUGUCAACCAUUUUUACGAAGGCCACGAAAGAAUAUCAGUAAUGUAUCUAAUGUUUGUUGCUUCCUCAUUAUCUUUACACUAAG